GAAAAUCCAGUUGUUAGUUAAAAAGUGUGUUGGAGAAUCAGCAUGCAAUUGGCAGUAACAUCCUGAUGAGCACCAUACACUGUUCUCCUGUGUUAUUUUUGAGAGAAGGAGCAACUCUCCAGCAUGGUGGGGAACAAAAAGGACCUUCCUCACCCUUAAAAAGGAAGAACACAGACCCUGUCCAGACAAGUAAUCACUGCCUACCAUACUGUCUGGUGUGACUUUCACAUCCCUUGAAGGAGCAAAAGCUCUAUGCUUCUCGAAAGCAUAAUCAUAAGUUUGCUGGAGGGAACAGAAACCAUGUGGAGAACAUCACUGUGAUUCAACAAAGGACGGGAGAGAGAAUAAUAUUUGUGCCUUCAGCAAAUUCGAACGUCUGCCCAGAAGGAACUGAUUAGUCCAAGAAACAGCACUAAUGGCAGUCACGGAAGCAAGAGUAUGAUGUGCUGCCUGUACAAGAACAGCAGUGUUCAGCAGUAGUCCAAGUACAGAAUGUAUGUCUGAAAAUAAUAAAGUGCAUUAAUCUCUAGCAGAGCAAUUACCU